rnacentral:rRNA from 1 species
UAACACCGGCGGCUCGAGUGGUAACCGUUAUUAUUGGGUCUAAAGGGUCUGUAGCCGGCCGGAUAAGUCUCUUGGGAAAUCCAGCAGCUUAACUGUUGGGCUUUCAGGAGAUACUGUCUGGCUCGAGGCCGGGAGAGGUGAGAGGUACUUCAGGGGUAGGGGUGAAAUCUUGUAAUCCUUGAAGGACCACCAGUGGCGAAGGCGUCUCACCAGAACGGACCUGACGGCAAGGGACGAAAGCUAGGGGCACGAACCGG